CCGCCGGAACCGCCGCCCGCAGCGAGGAAGCGCCUGCGCGGGCGCGGGCGGCCGGGAUGGCGGGGCCCGUUUGGGGCCCCCCGCGCCUGGACGGCUUCAUCCUCACCGAGCGCCUGGGCAGCGGCAAGUACGCCACGGUGUACAAGGCCUACGCCAAGAAUGCAAAGAAAUGGAUCAUCUAGCUGAGGGUUGGAGAAGACCAGGCUGAGGCUGGGUCGGGAAGCCAGGACUCCAGAAUCAACAUUCCUCACUGACCUCACAAGGGAAAGCUGGGAAGCCCGUUGCUGGUGUGCAAAGGACACUCGGGAGGUGGUUGCCAUAAAGUGUGUAGCCAAGAAAAGUCUGAACAAGGCAUCGGUGGAGAACCUCCUGACAGAGAUUGAGAUCCUCAAGGGCAUUCGACACCCCCACAUUGUGCAGCUGAAAGACUUUCAGUGGGACAGUGACAAUAUCUACCUCAUCAUGGAGUUCUGCGCAGGGGGUGACCUGUCUCGCUUCAUCCGUACCCGCAGGAUUCUGCCUGAGAAGGUGGCGCGUGUCUUCAUGCAGCAGUUAGCUAGCGCCCUGCAGUUCCUGCAUGAACGCAAUAUCUCUCAUCUGGAUCUGAAGCCACAGAACAUUCUGCUGAGCUCCUUGGAGAAGCCCCACCUAAAACUGGCAGACUUUGGUUUUGCACAGCACAUGUCCCCGUGGGAUGAGAAGCACGUGCUCCGUGGCUCCCCACUCUACAUGGCCCCCGAGAUGGUGUGCCAGCGGCAGUAUGACGCCCGCGUAGACCUCUGGUCCGUCGGGGUCAUCCUGUAUGAAGCCCUCUUCGGGCAGCCCCCCUUUGCCUCCAGGUCGUUCUUGGAGCUGGAAGAGAAGAUCCGUAGCAACCGGGUCAUCGAGCUCCCCCCGCGGCCCCUGCUCUCACGAGACUGCCGGGACCUACUGCAGCGGCUCCUGGAGCGGGACCCCAGCCGUCGCAUCUCCUUCCAGGACUUCUUUGCGCACCCCUGGGUGGACCUGGAGCACAUGCCCAGUAGGGAGAGUCUGGAUCGAGCAACCACCCUGGUGGUGCAGGCUGUGAAGAAAGACCAGGAGGGGGAUGCAGCAGCCGCCUUAUCGCUCUACUGCAAGGCUCUGGACUUCUUCGUACCUGCCCUGCACUAUGAGGCGGAUGCCCAGCGGAAGGAGGCGAUUAAGGCAAAGGUGGGGCAGUACAUGGCCAGGGCCGAGGAGCUCAAGGCCAUCGUCUCCUCCUCCAAUCAGGCCCUGCUGAGGCAGGGGACCUCUGCCCGAGAUCUGCUCAGAGAGAUGGCCCGGGACAAGCCACGCCUCCUAGCUGCCCUGGAAGUGGCUUCAGCUGCCAUGGCCAAGGAGGAGGCCGCUGGUGGGGAGCAGGAUGCCCUGGACCUGUACCAGCAUAGUCUGGGGGAGCUGCUGCUGCUGCUGGCAGCGGAGCCCCCGGGCCGGAGGCGGGAGCUGCUUCACACUGAGGUGCCCACUGAGCUUGAGAGGGUUGGGAGGCUUCCUCUUCCCCUUUCUUUGCUCUUACCUGUGGGGAUCUCUUUGGGUUCCCUCUGGAAUGUCCCACUCUCAGGGUGUUCCAGGUCUGAAAGUCAAAACCAUAGGGCUGGGGUACUCAGACAGGGCAAUGGAGGAUCUGGGAACCCAGCAGCAAACAGUCUGGGAAGGCUUCCUGGAGGAAGGAGCAGAUAAGGGACUCAGGAGGCAAGUUGUUCUGACGGGGCAGAGGGUUCUGGAGAGCAUCAGGGUUGAGGAGGAGUUCCCUUUGAAACCCCACCCCCCGCCACUCUCCCCCACACCCAAGGGCAUAUCUUUCCUUGGCAGGUUCAGAACCUCAUGGCCCGAGCUGAAUACCUGAAGGAGCAGGUCAAGAUGAGGGAAUCUCGCUGGGAAGCCGAUACCCUGGACAAAGAGGGACUGUCGGAAUCUGUUCGUAGCUCUUGUACCCUACAGUGACCCCAGAAGAAUGACUGGACAGACGUGAGCCAUCUGGAGCAGAGGGACACUAACCUAGGCUGACGCCAAGAAUGAAGUGGCCCACUGCAGCCCUGGCGAGCAGGCUUCUUGGGUAGACAGUGCUGAGACCCCCACAUUCCAGAGUCCCCAGACUCCCUCGGGUUACUCUGCACCCCACAUACAGUUUGAUGGCUGUGCUGUGUGCUGGAGGGGAGGGCAGGACUCUGGGAGAACAGCACUUCUUUCAUGAGACCUUUGUUAUUCAGUGGUUACUGGGUCCUGUGCCUGUCAGUUUUGGAGCAUGCAGCCGUCUAUCAUUUUUUUGCUCUGAGAAGAGGGCAAGGGGCCCCUGCAGGGCACUUCUGUGCUUGCCCUCGCCCUGCCAGCAGGCAGCUGUGCCCCUGGCCUGCCCUUCCCGGGACCCCUUAUUCCGACUCAGCUCCUCCUUGCACUGGAAUGGGGCACUCCAGCACCCCUCAGGGACCACCCACCCCACAGUAUGCACUCAGCCCCACAGAACCCACCAGUCUUUCUGGGAACUCACACCUGCCCGCCAUCUCGGUACUUCAAAUUAAUCCUUCAAGCAUGAAAGUUGUAUCUUUCGGGGUGGGGCAAAUUUAAGAAACCCAUUUCUUGUUCCUGCCCUGGCCUAGGGAGCACUCAGGAAGGUUCCUUGGUCCUCAUCUCUCCCACCUCCGUUCCUCUUUGGGCCCCACACUAGCCACAGCGCGGGCCUUGUGCUGGAGUUUGAGCCUGGGAGAGGGAGACGGUCUGACCCAAUGCACUCCAGGCUACCCACUUCUAGGCCUACUCUGCCACUGGAGCCCUGGGCAAACCCCUUCCCCUUUGUGGGCCGGGGUCUCCCCAUCUCUUCAAUGGGGCUGAUAACGCCACAGCCCACAGCAUGGGCACUUAUGAGGACAAAGUGAAUUUAACCUGGAAAAUAAUGUAUUUGAGAGUUUCUUUUAAAUAAUCAGCGGGUGUUGGUGAUUUCUAGCCCUUCUGCCCUUAAAUGCCUCCUUGGGCAAGAGUUGUCUGUCCUCCCUGCAGGAGGCUGAGUGUGAAGAGUAUAAUUCACUGUUUCUCUAUUAAAUUAUUUUCUUUA